rnacentral:lncRNA from 1 species
UGCUGCCCGUGACUCCCUGCAGUGACGGCCUGGAACUUGGAACUGUGACUCAAAAUAAACCCUUUGUCCUGCAAGUUGCCUUGUGUUGAGGUAUUUUGUCAUAGCAACGGAAAUGAAACUGGGGCAUUGCGAGGCUGUUCUUCCUGGACUCUUCAGGCACAUGCUUCUGGAGGGCAGAAAAAGGGGAGGGGAAUGAGAAAGACAUGGGAAGUUUCUCCUGCAGGAAGCUCUACCAGGCCCAGCUCAGGUGACAUUGGAUGGGGUGGACACGGAGCAAACCCUGUGACUGUCACCAUGGGAUGAAAGCCUGUCCUUAGUCACUCCAACAGCUUGUGUGCUUCACAGCAUCGCCAGAGUUGGAUGGGGAUAUCCUCAAAACAAGCAUGGAGUCACAUUACUGGAUGGAUGGCUUGAUGCAAUUGAGAAUCGCCAUGGGAACAAGCCUCUGGACCAGUCUGUAGUACAGAUUUGGUUAACUGAAGUGGGAAGACUCACUCUAAACGUGUGCAACACCACCUCAUGGGCUGGCUUCCUGGACCAGAUAAAAAGAAAGAUUUCUGAGCACCAGCAUCCAUCUCUCUGUGCCUCCUAAACACGGAUGCCACGUGACCAGCUGCCUCACCCGCCGGCCUUCAAGGUGAACCUCAUUCUGUGAGCCAGAAUGAAACCUCCUUUUCUUAGGUUGCCUCUGGUCCAUUAUUGGUGCCAGCAAUAAGAAGACUGACUCAGGAGCGCUGGGAGGGCCUCUGCUCACUGCAGGGAAGGGUGCUGUUCAUAGUAGGGAGACAGAAUUGUUCUCUCU